GCGGCCGCCGCCCGCCUGCGCUCAGAGACUCACGCAGCCCUAGUCCCGCCGCGUUGGGCCUAACUCGAGUCUCGCUGCCUCCCGGGAGUGCCGUGCGCCGCAGCCCGGGCCCAGGCCCCGGCAGCGCCUGGGUCAAGGAUUCCUCAUGUCCGUAACAUGUUGGCUGAGGCUCUGCAGUUCACCCCCACUCUUUGAGUGGUCAGUCUCCAUUAAUUGGACCCCGUGAUUCCUACCCUCUGCUGUCUUGGACGUCAUGAGCAUUGCAAUCCCUCUGGGAGUCACCACACCAGAUACAUCGUACUCAGAUAUGGCUGCUGGAUCAGAGUAAGUGCUAUUUCCUAGAUAAUAGGAUUGCUGCAAGCUUGUGUGAGGAUGGAUUUCUUCCGGGCAGGUCAUAAACUAUAUGUAAUAUUUUCUUAAAACCUAUCCCACUUCAG
rnacentral:lncRNA from 1 species